UCAAUGGAUGGGGUAUUUUUUUUCUGUGUCACUCUGCCUUUCAAACAAACAAUAAGGAAAUCUUUUUGAAGAAAACAAAACACAUGUUUCCUGCUGAUGGAGUCCGUAUAGUCAUCAAAUUUUCUGUGGGAUGGCUCCACAGAUG